CUGCGAGUGAAGCGGCAAAAGCUCAAAUUUGAAAUCUGGCGUUCAUCGUCCGAGUUGUAAUUUGGAGGGGUAACUUCGGAAACGACGCCGCUCUAUGUUCCUUUGAACAGGACAUCACAGAGGGUGAGAAUCCCGUGCUUGGGCGGAUCGUCGCGACCAUGUGAAGUGCCUCCGACGAGUCGAGUUGUUUGGGAAUGCAGCUCAAAAUGGGUGGUAAAUUUCAUCUAAAGCUAAAUAUUGGCGAGAGACCGAUAGCGCACAAGUAGAGUGAUCGAAAGAUGAAAAGAACUUUGAAAAGAGGGUCAAACAGUACGUGAAAUUGUUGAAAGGGAAGCGCUUGAGAUCGAACUCAGUCGACGGCACACAACCGAGUUUUUGCUCGGUGCACUGGUCGUCGACUGGGCCAGCAUCGGUUCUGACGGCGGGAUAAAGGGUCGGGAAACGUGGCUCGCCUCGUGCGAGUGUUAUAGUCCCGCGCCGUAAUACCGCCAGUCCGGGACCGAGGACCGCGCUUCGGCUAGGAUGCUGGCGUAACGGUCUUAAGCGACCCG
rnacentral:rRNA from 1 species